GGAGGGAUGGCAGAGUGGCCAAAUGCGACGGUUUGCUAAACCGUGCCCGGUUUACUGGGCCCGUGGGUUCGAAUCCCACUCCCUCCG
rnacentral:tRNA from 1 species